GACGAACGCUGGCGGCGUGCCUAAUACAUGCAAGUUGAGCGAUGAAGCUUGGUGCUUGCACCAAUUUGAAGAGCAGCGAACGGGUGAGUAACGCGUGGGGAAUCUGCCUUUGAGCGGGGGACAACAUUUGGAAACGAAUGCUAAUACCGCAUAACAACUUUAAACAUAAGUUUUUAGUUUGAAAGAUGCAAUUGCAUCACUCAAAGAUGAUCCCGCGUUGUAUUAGCUAGUUGGUGAGGUAAAGGCUCACCAAGGCGAUGAUACAUAGCCGACCUGAGAGGGUGAUCGGCCACAUUGGGACUGAGACACGGCCCAAACGCCUACGGGAGGCAGCAGUAGGGAAUCUUCGGCAAUGGACGAAAGUCUGACCGAGCAACGCCGCGUGAGUGAAGAAGGGUUUCGGAUCGUAAAACUCUGUUGGUAGAGAAGAACGUUGGUGAGAGUGGAAAGCUCAUCAAGUGACGGUAACUACCCAGAAAGGGACGGCUAACUACGUG
rnacentral:rRNA from 1 species